rnacentral:tRNA from 1 species
GCGGUCGUGGCGGAACUGGUAGACGCGCAGCGUUGAGGUCGCUGUGGCCGCAAGGCCGUGGAAGUUCGAGUCUUCUCGACCGCACCA